UUUAUUAACUUGAUAUAUACUACUAUAUUAUUAACAAAACUUUUUGGAUCAACAACCAGUAUUGCUUCUCAAGUAAAAAGUAAUUUUAAAAUUCCUACCUGGUCAAAGGUAAGAAAAAUCUACCAGCAUUUUAACCUUGGAUUCUGAAGUACGAAGCUUUUUUCUAUCAGAAGUGUUGAGAAUAACAACUCUGGUAUUCUUUCUAGCCCCACUUUUACUCCUACCCCCAGGAAAAGAGUAGUAACUCUUAUAAUUGAAAUGGAAGACAUGCUGCUCUUUUCCUGCCAAGAGGUAAGUAUACCUGGGUUACCACCUGACUGUCCACUUAAAACAGGUAUGGAAGUCUGUCUCUCCUUCCCAGUCAUUGCCACUUAAUAGGAUGAAGAAACAAUUCAAAAAUUAGGAGUUAACAUUUCAUCACACCAAGGUCUCUAUUAUGGGAGAAAAACAGUAUUAAGCAGCUCAACCACAACUGCACAAGGUGAGCUUUAUCAAGAACAUAAAUAACACACUUCUCUUUUU
rnacentral:lncRNA from 1 species